rnacentral:rRNA from 1 species
GUUUGUGUAAGUCUGCUGUUAAAGACUGGGGCUCAACCCCAGAAAAGCAGUGGAAACUGCCAGACUUGAGUGUGGUAGAGGUAAAGGGAAUUCCUAGUGUAGCGGUGAAAUGCGUAGAUAUUAGGAAGAACACCAAUGGCGAAGGCACUUUACUGGGCCAUAACUGACACUGAGAGACGACAGCUAGGGGAGCAAAUGGGAUUAGAUACCCCAGUAGUCCUAGCCGUAAACGAUGGAUACUAGAUGUUGCACGUAUUAACCCGUGCAGUAUCGUAGCUAAGGCGUUAAGUAUCCCGCCUGGGAAGUACGCUCG